CAUCAUCCACUACAAUUGCUCUCUGCUCUGAUCCUAUCUAGCAUUUAAAAAUCUUUUCUCUCUGUUCAACAUGAUCCACAAGUAUCCACUACAAUUGCUCAUAUUCUUCAUGGUUCUUUCAUCUGAUGCUCUCCAAACAAGGGGAAGCCUUUUGUCAAUGGAUGAAAAAUCAUCAAUGCAAAAAUAUACAAUAGUUCAGGGUGCUGUGGAAUUUAGAACUGGGGAAGAAAUGUUUGACACGGUAGAAGAAUUCAUGGUAAAGGAAAGAAUUAAUUUGGAAACUGAAGACUACCCAGGGACGGGAGCAAACAACCACCAUGACCCAAAGACACCAGGAAGAGUUUGAAUGAUAUAUACAUAACUAGUUUAAGAUUAAGACCUAUGAAAAUGUCAUAUUAAAUCUCGGCAGAGGACAUGACUAUUCUCAGUCUUACAAAUUACAAUAUGCCUCUAUAUAUCCAUUCCCUAUUUGUACUGAUGCAUGUGCUUAUCUGUAGAUUGUAGACUAUUACGGGAUGCGUGUGCUAAUGUUAUCAAAGAUAGUUUUAUUAGUUUGGUUGCACGCCAAAAAUAAGAAAAAUUAUGAUAUUUUUACACCUUCAAAGUGGGAAUUUCGCUAAGAAAAAUGAGGUUAUAUGGUAAGGGAAUACCAAAUCCGAGUAUAGCAAAGUUGCAAGACUGCAGAAUUGAGACACUCCUAUGUGGAAGGUAGGGACGGAUCCGCCUUAUGCAAAUGGGGGUAAUUACCCCCAAAAUAUUUUUAUAUAUUAUACUAUUAUUGUAAUAUCUUCGCCGAUUGAAGAGAGAUUGAUUGAGGUUAAAAAUUGCUUUUGUAAUUUUGGAGCCAAGGGUUCUUGUGCAGGCUCUCUUAUUGGAGAUCUCCUUUAGGGGUUUUAGAGAUCUCAAUCAAGAGAAUGAAGGUUGUUCUGAAGACAAUGACCUCACAAAGGAGGGACUCGAUUCAGUCGUAUGCGACGCUUGGGAAGUGAUCAGUGGCGGAACUAGGAUAUAAAAUUUGAGGGGGCCAAAAUAAAUAAGAUUCCAAUUCAUGUACGUAUGCAUAUGUAUAUCUAUCUAUCUAUCUAUAUCUAUCUAUCUAUCUAUCUAUCUAUAAAGGGAGAGUUUGUGUAGCCUUGAGGGCAACUUAGUCAUUUAAUAUUUAAUUGUACACAACUCUCAAAUUAAUUAAGCAAGGAUAGUUUUGUAAGAAUGGAAAUAAUUUUCACAUAUUGAAUCACAGCCGCCGUUGGUUUCCUUAUCAUCUUAGCUGUCUUUUACACUCCCAAAUCACUUACGUUUAGCUUUCCAAUAAGGCAAUAACAUUUCGUUACUCUUUUCCGUUUCGAAACGUAUCUUAUAUUCACCGCUCUGCUCCUUCGGGAUUCACCAUAUCACAGUCUCAUUCCACUAUGCAUUCUCUCAAUUUGAUGUUUCAGUCUUCGAUUCAAUGACAGCAAAAAAAGAAUGGGAUAUCCAAAUGACACCAGAUUUUGUGUCGUCGCCUUUGAUAUCUUUGAUCCACCGCUGUUGAUCACUAGGUUAAAUGCAAAGUUGGAUUUCUUUCUCGGCCAUGAGUUUAUUGUUGUCCGUUGGAUUUCUACUCGUCUCUGCUGCUAUGUGCAUUGCCGCCUCCGCCUUGGAAUUCCUGCUUCGUCGCCGCUGCUUGCUGGGUUUCUUUCUCGAUUUAUCGGCCUUGGUUUAUUGUUGUUCGUUGGAUUUCUUUGCCUCUGUUUUGCUGAUAAACCUCCUUGAUUUUUCAAUUUAUUAUUCAAUCUAUUGGUUCAGUGAGAAAAUAACUCAUUUUGUUAAUACUGAGGUAAGCCCUAUUUUGUUUAUGCGCGGGUUUUUGUUAGUGGUGUGGUGUGUAGCAACCAAUUCCCCAAUUACACUACUACAAUCUCUUCUUUAACUUUUUAAAUUUUGAAACAGUUUUUCACUGGGCUCAAGAAAUAGAUUCAGGUUUAUCUAAUCACAAUAUCAACAACCAAUCAUUCAAGUUUACCUCUUUUACAAUGUCAAAUGGUUUCUGACGUUAAUUUACAAGAAACAUCCCUUUAUAUUGUCUUGGUGACAAAAUUAUGUAUUUCUAACAUAUAUUGUAACAUUUUAAUGAUUAUGGUGACUCUUCAUUCAUUUUUCUUUCUUAAUUUUCAUCCUUUUUUCAAUGGAACAGAUGUUGAAAAUGAGAGGGAGCGGGAGCAUCUUGGGCUUACGGGGACACGGUUCCAAGGACAGGACUGGAUCCCAUCAUCAUGUCUCCAAAGAAUGUCAAAGAUUUUGGCUUGGACUCAAUGCAAGCUGACAAUUCAAACUGGCCUUCAAGAUUUAAGGAUCUGCAAAAAAACAUAUCGUUGAUGCUUGCAAUGGUUUCUCCAUCACCUAUUUAUAUGGAGGUAGAGUUGGGAAGACUAUCAUAUCUUAACCAAACUUUCUGACAAGACAAUUAGACCGUGGAUUGUGGAAGAUGGACGAAGCCAGAACCAUGAGUCAAGGGCAUCUCAAGUAUUGAGGUUUUGUGAUUCAACUUUCGAUUUAUUGGUAAAACAACUUCUUUCUUAUACAAAAGUACAUGGUAUAAGCACUUGAUAUUGCGUAAUUAGGCAUCUCUAGGUGUACAUUUGACUUGAUAAUACUGUUGAAGUUUGAGCACAGGCAAGAUUGAGUCUGACUUCAACCCAUUUAAAAUUGAGUUUCUUUUAUAUUUUUAUUUGAGGCUGCCUUCAAUCCAUAUAAAACUCUAUAAUGGCAUCUCAACAUUUUCUUGCGAUGGUGCAGUUUCACAGAGGGGGUUAGAUUAAUGGAAACAGUGGCGGGAAAGGCUAAGCUCUGCAAACAGACGGGGUUAUUUGCUGCUCUACCAUUUUAGUUUGAGCAUUCUUUCUGUUUCUAUCUCAAAUAAAUCUUUUACAUGCUAGCAACUUCUAAUAAAUUUCAAUUGCUGUAACUUAAUUGAUUCUAAUUUAGCUGUUUUUAUUUUCAAAUAUAUAAUUACUUUUGAAUAUUCUGUACCAUAUAUAUUUCCAUAA